rnacentral:snoRNA from 1 species
GUGACGAGAUUGGUCUUAGCUGAGCUGUGAAGACGGGAACGAGUUCCGA